GCUCUAGGUUGACAGGAAUUGAUUAAAGCUGCAAGACGCUACAAGCACAAUCGAUAAUCAUUGUGCAACGUUUAUUUGUAUACAUCCAACCAGUGCGGCUUCAAUAAUUUACUUUACAGGAAUUGGUGGCAAUAACUUUACAUACAAUUGACGUAUCACAAGUUUAACAUCGGUCUUUUACGGUGUGAGUACAGAGUACAUAUCUAAAAUGUAGUAGCAAAUGGUUUAAAAAUAUUUGUCCCGAAAUGUUUGAAAUGCUGAAAUUUCUGUUUUUUCUAUAUUGGCGUACAUAAUAUUCCUCCGUUUGCAAUCCUUUUCACGACUUGUGUCCUCUUUUGGAGAAAUUGUGUCAAUGCUUAGUUUAUCUUCGAUACUGGGGGGAAGGAUGGGAGAUAUUACAUUCCAGCUCGGUGGCAGUAGACGUGUAUGACACGAAUAAUAUUGUCAGCGUACAACCUCGACCAUCACGCGCUCGUAUCCUUUCCACACUAUUAGUAUGGUAGGGAUACGAACGCUGGAGUCAAAUUUUGCCCGAGGUUGCAUGAUGGACAUAAUACCUGGACUAUUGCUACUGUUUUUGAAAUCCACCAGGAUAAAUUUGAUCUGGUCAAGUUAUGGACGGAUUUUGAGAAAAGGAUUUUAUCGGCGAGAAUGUGUGAGACGAACGCUUCCUCAAAAUUAGUCUACCCGGAAUUAUGAUGAAGGAAUGAUUGUUUGGAACGCAUUUCCCCAACCGUGUGUAUCUUUUAAAAUUGGAGAUAAGGUUGAAGAUCAUUUCAAUUACCUGGAGACUUAAAUAUGUAUUUAUUUAACCUGUAAUUUUCUGAAAUAUUCCAAUGUGCAUGAAAUGGCUUAAGUAGACCUGGAGAACAUUUUCCAAGCGCCAUAGAUCGGAGUACGCAGCUUUUUCUGGAGGCCGGAGUACGCGUGGCCAGCCGGAGGCCGGAGUACGCGGAGGCCGGAGUACGCAAAAUAUCCGAUCUAUGCCAAGCGCUAAUUCCACCGUUUUCCAUCGUUUUAAACUGAUGCAUUACCAAGUGGAAAUUAUUACGAUGAAUUUUCGGCUCUUGAAAUGGUAGUGGAACUCGCCGUUCAAUUAAUGUCCCUAAUAAAUUAAAAUUACUAUUUAUUAUCGAUUUAUAUAUUUACAAAUCUGUACAUGUUUGUUUCCGUCAGUACAUAAGUAUUUACAUAAAUAUCAA